CAUCUAACUCUUCUCCUUGCCAAUAUUCACAUUCAGAAAGCUAAUAAGCAGUCUGUCUUGAAGAGUUAUACACAGUAUAUCCCUUUGCCAAUCAGUGACCUUGAUUCUUGGUUGAAGACACCCUCCAUAUAUGUUUUUGAUUGCUCUGCGGCUGGGGGAAUAUUGUGAAUGCUUUUAUUGAGCUUCAUGAUUGGGUUGCUUCUAGCUCCUCUAGAUCCACAAGGGAUUGCAUUAUACUUCGAGCUUGUGAAGCACAUGAGACUCUUCCACAAAGUGCUGAAUUUCUUGCAGAUGUGUUUACGUCUUGUCUCACAACACCUAUUAAGAUGGCUUUGAGAUGGAUCUUGCAGGCAAAGGACACCAAAUGAAUUAGAUAGAGAGGUUAAGAACUUGAGGGUGGCAUUUACUGACUUGUUUUUGAAGCAUAACACUUUCAAAGAAACUGCAAAGCCAUCGAGAUAUUGAUGCAAAGAAUGGAAGAAUGUAUUUCACUAAUUUUUGUAUACAUUUCUUAUUUUGUAUUUAGUGAUAAAGGAAUCUGAAUUGGGCAUAAAUUAUGUUGUAAUAUGAUUUCUUAAGCCUAGACUAGUAGACUAAAUAUUGUAAUUACAUUUGAGUAAUUAAUAAAAAUCUAUUUAUGUUA